UGAUUAGAUACCUUGGUAGUCCACGCCGUAAACGAUGAGUACUAAAUGUUGGGUAAAAACCAGUGUUGAAGUUAACACAUUAAGUACUCCGCCUGAGUAGUACGUACGCAAGUAUGAAACUUAAAGGAAUUGACGGGACUCCGCACAAGCGGUGGAUCAUGUUGUUUAAUUUGAAGGUACCCGAAAAACCUCACCAGGUCUUGACAUGCUUUUGCAAAGCUGUAGAAACACAGUGGAGGUUAUCAGUUGCACAGGUGGUGCAUGGUUGUCGUCAGCUCGUGUCGUGAGAUGUUGGGUUAAGUUCCGCAACGAGCGCAACCCUUAUUGUUAGUUGCCAGCACGUAAUGGUGGGGACUUUAGCAAGACUGCCAGUGAUAAAUUGGAGGAAGGUGGGGGAGACGUCAAAUCAUCAUGCCCCUUAUGACCUGGGGUACAAACGUGAUACAAUGGCUGUUACAAAGGGUAGCUGAAACGCAAGUUUUUGGCGAAUCUCAAAAAAACAGUCUCAGUUCGGAUUGAAGUCUGCAACUCGACUUCAUGAAGUUGGAAUCGCUAGUAAUCGCGAAUCAGCAUCGCGACCCAACCGUACUAUAGUACGAAGAUACCCGAAAAACCUCACCAGGUCUUGACAUGUUUUUGCAAAGCUGUAGAAACACAGUGGAGGUUAUCAGUUGCACAGGUGGUGCAUGGUUGUCGUCAGCUCGUGUCGUGAGAUGUUGGGUUAAGUCCCGCAACGAGCGCAACCCUUAUCGUUAGUUGCCAGCACGUAAUGGUGGGGACUUUAACGAGACUGCCAGUGAUAAAUUGGAGGAAGGUGGGGAUGACGUCAAAUCAGCAUGCCCCUUAUGACCUGGCUACAAACUUUCCCC
rnacentral:rRNA from 1 species